UACGUAGGGUGCGAGCGUUAAUCGGAAUUACUGGGCGUAAAGCGUGCGCAGGCGGUCUGUUAAGUCCGAUGUGAAAUCCCCGGGCUUAACCUGGGAACUGCAUUGGUGACUGGCAGGCUUUGAGUGUGGCAGAGGGAGGUAGAAUUCCACGUGUAGCAGUGAAAUGCGUAGAGAUGUGGAGGAAUACCGAUGGCGAAGGCGGCCUCCUGGGCCAACACUGACGCUCAUGCACGAAAGCGUGGGGAGCAAACAGG
rnacentral:rRNA from 1 species